rnacentral:rRNA from 1 species
AGCAAAGGCCAUACCACCCUGAAUGCACACAAUUUUGUCUGGUCUUGGAAACUAAGCCGAACUGGGCAUAGUUAGUAUAAGAUAUUCUCCUGUGGUGCUAUUUAGAGUCUUUGGAG